UAUUCUGAUAGGCUCAUAGCUGGCAACCUGGAAUAAAAAAUCCAUACCGUGGUGUUGUUGUUUGGCCUGUUCCUGAAAACAUUGAAAUUACUGUAACACUUUUUAAGGACCCUCAUGCAGAGGAGUUUGAAGACAAAGAGUGGACAUUUGUCAUAGAGAAUGAAUCUCCUUCUGGUCGGAGGAAAGCUCUUGCUACUAGCAGCAUCAAUAUGAAACAGUAUGCAAGCCCUAUGCCAACUCAAACUGAUGUCAAGUUAAAAUUCAAGCCAUUGUCUAAAAAGGUUGUGUCUGCCACUCUCCAGUUUUCAUUAUCUUGCAUCUUCCUUCGGGAAGGAAAAGCAACAGAUGAAGACAUGCAGAGUUUGGCCAGUUUGAUGAGUAUGAAGCAGGCUGACAUUGGCAAUUUAGAUGAUUUUGAAGAAGAUAAUGAAGAUGACGAUGAGAAUCGAGUGA